GAUGAACGCUGGCGGCGUGCCUAAUACAUGCAAGUCGAGCGAACGGACGAGAAGCUUGCUUUUCUGAUGUUAGCGGCGGACGGGUGAGUAACACGUGGAUAACCUACCUAUAAGACUGGGAUAACUUCGGGAAACCGGAGCUAAUACCGGAUAAUAUUUUGAACCGCAUGGUUCAAAAGUGAAAGACGCUCUUGCUGUCACUUAUAGAUGGAUCCGCUCUGCAUUAGCUAGUUGGUAAGGUAACGGCUUACCAAGGCAACGAUGCAUAGCCGACCUGAGAGGGUGGUCGGCCACACUGGAACUGAGACACGGUCCAGACUCCUACGGGAGGCAGCAGUAGGGAAUCUUCCGCAAUGGGCGAAAGCCUGACGGAGCAACGCCGCGUGAGUGAUGAAGGUCUUCGGAUCGUGAAACUCUGUUAUUAGGGAAGAACAUAUGUGUAAGUAACUGUGCACAUCUUGACGGUACCUAAUCAGAAAGCCACGGCUAACUACGCG
rnacentral:rRNA from 1 species